AUUGAGAAGUUGCAUGAAGCAGCGUACAAAAACGCCCUGUCCAACUCUCUGUACUGCCCUGACUACAUGGUCGGUCAUGUCUCCUCUACGCAGCUGCACUCAUUUGUUGAGGACACUUUCACCACUGGCAGAAUGGCUCUUGUAGGACUCGGUGUAAAGCACUCUGUCCUGAGGCAGAUGGGCGAGGGGCUCCUGAGCGUCCGCAGCGGUGCUGGAGCACCGGUGGCUAAGGCCGUGUACCGU